UAUGGGGUGGUUCCUGGGUGCCCCUUGUGCGCUGAGAGGGAGGUUAAAUUAGGCUUUUCUCAUUUGGGUAUCUCCCCUUCUUUCCUGAUUGGGGUGGGACCGGCUCGUCUGUGCCACUGCCGUGUUACUCUGGUAGGUUGGGGGUGUGAGAGUAAUGUCCACAGGGGCGACUGUCAUUGGCCCAGUUUCCAGUCUCCGCUUAAAAUGGCAGAACGGCGCUCCCUGUGGAUGCAUCAGGCCCGUUCGGGGGGGGGGGGGUCGCCUCCGAUACACCAGGGUUGAGUAGCGUUCACAAAAAUCUUGGAAGACGUUUCCCUUGCAGGAUUGGAAUAUGUUGAAACACAAUUUGUUAUCAAUAUAUUACUUUUAACACAUCUGUUUACAGUAUAAGGCGACAUACAGAUUAUUGUUGAUUUUACAUGUUGCAAUGUGUAUAUUAAUAACGUACUGCUAUAUAUUUUUUGCUGUAUUCUCUAAAAGAGCGGCAUAUUUGCAGUAUAUUGCUGUAAGUUUGUUUCUGUAAGGGUUCCCCCUUAUUCCAUUUAAACUGUCGCUGCUUACACAGAAACAGAAGCUCGCAGUCUCAUGCUGCGAGCUGGUUUUCUCUCCCUCCCUUCCUCCCUCCCUCCCUCCAUCCUUCCAUCUCUCCCUCCCUCUCUCGCACACAUGCAGAGAGUGUGGGCAGUCUGCUUCUCCUGUCAGAGUGUGUUAAUCCACCUGACUGAGAGAGAGAGGGGGAGAGAGAGAGAAAGGGAGAGAAAGAGACAGAGAGAGGGAGAGGGAGCGAGAGCAAGAGAGAGAGGGGGAGAGCAAGAGAGAGAGAGAGAGAGCGAGAGAGAGAGGGGGAGCGAAUGAGAACAUGAGUGGGAGAAAUGGAGAGGGAGUGAGAAGAGAGGGACGGGGUAGAUGGAAAGAAGGAGUGAGAGAGGGAGAGAGAGGAAGGGAAAUAGAGUGUAGGGAACAGAGGAUGGAAAGAGGGGAAAAAUGGAAGAUGGAGAUUUUCCAAAGUGCCAUUGGGCAGAUCCAGGUGGUGUGUGUGUGUGUGUGUGAGUGUGUGUGUGUGUGUGUGUGUGCGGGACUGUAGGGCACCGUGAGUGUUUAGCUUACAGUCGAGCAUGCUCAGUUCAGCUCUCUAAUGAGCACGCUCAGUUCAGCUCUCUAAUGAGCACGCUCAGUUCAGCUCUCUGCCGAACGCGCUCAGUUCAGCUCUCCGCCGAGCGCGCUCAGUUCAGCUCUCUGCUGAGCGCGCUCAGUUCAGCUCUCUGCCGAGCGCGCUCAGUUCUGUGCACUGGAGUGCUGUGGCAAAGCUCCUGCCCCUUUGGUGGGCCAUUGCUAUCAAAGACGCAGAACUGCACGGUCAGGGACAUCGGCUGAGACGAGUGGCCUGAAUGUGUGCUCUGCAGGGCAACCGUGCUAGACUUCGACAGCCUUUCCUAGUCGCUGGCACAGUCUGUGUUUGGGUUUUUAACGGGGUGAAUUGUGGAAGGGCAAGUUUGUGUGCGUGUGUGUGCGUGUGCAUGUGUGUGUGUGUGUGUGUGUGUGUGCGUGUGUAUGUGUGUGUGUGCGUGUGUGUGUGUUUAUACUGUAAUUUGUGCUGACACUUUGAGGAGAUACAGUAAUAUUGUAUAUGAAUGCGUAUGAGGUGAGAUUUCUAUGGGAGAUAUUGUCUCACGGUCUCUUGCAGUGAGGUAUAGACAUCAUCAUAGAAGUAUGGCAGCCCCCACCCCCGCCCCACCCCCCUCCACCCCCACGCUCAGUCCCUGGUUGCCCCGGUGAUUCUCUGCGGGGCUAAGCCUGCUGUAACAGAUUCUACAGAUGUCCCUAAGGCCUGUCAUAUCUCUCCCAUUCCUAAUCUGUCUCAGACACCAAUGGGGGGGGGGGGGUUGGUCAUGUGACCCAUGGUUGCCUGGAUACAGCCUCACCUUUCUCCUGCUGCUCGUAGUGCCACACAUUGUGAUCAGAUCGGUGGCACUUUGCAGGAGUCAUAGCGGAGAUGCCCAUUACCGUUAACAUUACUGUCUGACCGCUCAGCCAAGGGACCAGGUCAAUAGGAAUGUGCUAGCUCGUAGCCUUAGGAUGCAUGGUGAACAAUGAAGUCAUUUGGUGGGGGGUUUUUUAGGGUGGCCUUGUGGUAUUAGCAAGAGGAAGGAGAGGAGGUGAAAGAUUUUGGAGGGUUCAAGUGCAGAAGAUUCCAGAGCUUUCAGGUGCAGAAGAUCCAGGAGGGAUUUAGGUGGAGAAGAUUCAGAAGCCUUCAGGUGCAGAAGAUUUAGGAGGGAUUCCGGUGCAGAAGAUUCAGGAGGAUUCAGGUGCAGAAGAUUCAGGAGGGAUUCAGGUGCAGAAGAUUCAGGAGGGAUUCAGGUGCAGAAGAUUCAGAAGGGAUUCAGGUGCAGAAGAUUCAGGAGGAUUCAGGUGCAAAAGAUUCAGGACGUUUCAGGUGCAGAAGAUUCAGGACGUUUCAGGUGCAGAAGAUUCAUGAACCUUCAGGUGCAGAAUGGAAUAAAAAGAGGGAGGGAGAGAGUGAGCAACAAUUCCCCCUUUUUUAUAUAAAACUUGGCAUUGUAUUUAAAUGUCAUGUCAGUAAAGCAUUCGUGAAAUUAAUUGUGACAGAGAGGAAGAGAGAUGAAUUGAGAGAAUGUGAAAGAGGAAAAAAGAGGGAGACAGCAUGUGGAGGGAAACAAAGGGAGAGAAAGAGAGGAGAGGAAGAGUGAGAGAUAGACUGAGGAAUAAAGAGUAGAGAGGUACAGGCAAAAUAUGAGAAGUGGAAUGAAGGAGAGAAGAGAGGGAUAGAAGGAG